CAUAGAGAAUGCAUUGCUCAAACGAUUGGAAAAUUUCCCAACGAUAUCCGGUAAGGACAAUAAAGAGUUCCAGAGACUCAGUGACCUUCUUCUCGAAGUCCAGCUUGCCAAAACUGACCCUAAACUACCGGGCCUCAGUUACCUGGACACUGCUCGAGGAGUUAACCCUAUCAUUUACAAGCUUCCAUUUGGCCUACGAGAAAAGUGGAUCCAAAUUGGGUCAAAAUACAAACGGGAAAACAAGGUUUCAUUUCCCCCUUUCUCCUACUUCUGCGAAUUUGUCAGGAACAUUGCUGAC